rnacentral:rRNA from 1 species
GAGUGGCGAACGGGUGAGUAAUGCAUCGGAACGUGCCCAGUCGUGGGGGAUAACGCAGCGAAAGCUGUGCUAAUACCGCAUACGAUCUAUGGAUGAAAGCGGGGGAUCGCAAGACCUCGCGCGAUUGGAGCGGCCGAUGUCAGAUUAGCUAGUUGGUGGGGUAAAGGCCCACCAAGGCGACGAUCUGUAGCUGGUCUGAGAGGACGACCAGCCACACUGGGACUGAGACACGGCCCAGACUCCUACGGGAGGCAGCAGUGGGGAAUUUUGGACAAUGGGCGCAAGCCUGAUCCAGCAAUGCCGCGUGCAGGAAGAAGGCCUUCGGGUUGUAAACUGCUUUUGUACGGAACGAAAAGGUCUGGGUUAAUACCCUGGGCUCAUGGCGGUACCG